rnacentral:rRNA from 1 species
CCUACGGGUGGCAGCAGUGAGGAAUAUUGGUCAAUGGGCGCUAGCCUGAACCAGCCAAGUAGCGUGAAGGAUGAUUGCCCUAUGGGUUGUAAACUUCUUUUAUAUGGGAAUAAAGUGCAGUAUGUAUACUGCUUUGCAUGUACCUUCUGAAUAAGGAUCGGCUAACUCCGUGCCAGCAGCCGCGGUAAUCCGGAGGAUUCGAGCGUUUUCCGGAUUUAUUGGGUUGAAGGGGAGCGUAGGCGGGUUGUUAAGUCAGGUGUGAAAGUUUGCGGCUCAACCGUAAAAUUGCAGUUGAUACUGGCAUGCUUGAGUGCAGUAGAGGUAGGCGGAAUUCGUGGUGUAGCGGUGAAAUGCUUAGAUAUCACGAAGAACUCCGAUUGCGAAGGCAGCCUGCUGGACUGUAACUGACGCUGAUGCACGAAAGUGUGGGUAUCAAACAGGAUUAGAUACCCUUGUAGUC